GCACAGCACCACGCCGUCCUUCAGGGAGGACUGCAGGAAGCCCUCGGGGUCGGCGAUGCUCUUCUUGGGCGACUCCAGCACGCCCAGGGCGAUCAGCCACGUAACGGGCAAUGAAGGCAACUCACAGUGUUAUAUCCUUGCAGCAUUUGUCACUUUUACCCCGGCUGUGUUCUUUGGAUGGAAGUGCCCUCAGAGAGCUCUGGCAGAAACCAAUAAUGAGCAUUCUGCUUGAGGCGGAGAUGAAUAUAGAAGCACAGUCCUCGCCUGGUCUACAUCACGUGUGACAGAUGAAGGGUAGAGCUGGGGAAGGAAGAAUGGAAAAGGACAACAGUCACAUGGGGCUCCCUCUGCAGAAAGAAAUCUAUUUUGAUUGGCGUUUUGGAAGUGUUUUAUUCACACUUAAUGAAGACCAGGAAAGAAAUGAAGAAUGAGAACAGGAUGGCUAGGAAUCAACGCGGCUACAAAUGAUCGAAGAGGUCCUGAGUUCCAAUUAAACACGAUUCAAGAAUCUCAGAUUAUUUUUAGUGUGUAUUUACUACAAUUUACCCCGUGUUCUGUUAGCACGGGAUGCAGUAAGCACCUUCAUAAUGCCCUAGUCUGGGUGGCAGUGAAUUGGUGGUUCCCCUGGGGGAGGUGCUGGGGGCAGGGAAGUUGGCAGUGCCUCCAGGUCCCAACACACUCCUGUGAGCUGCAGGGGCAGGUCUUGUCCAGGAGCAGCUGUCACUGCUCCAUCGAGCUGAUGAGCCUGUGACAACAGUAAGGAACAAGCCCUAAAACUCUGGCUGCGAACACUGAUUACAGAGCGCUGAUGUGACCAUCCGCAAGAAGAGGAUUCUAAGAUAUGCCUGAUGGGGAAUUGGGACAGAGUAAGGGCGAGUGUUUUGCAGAGUCAUUGGCAAAAUCUCAUUUAGACUGCAGCGUAGAGACUUGGCCAGCUGUGCUCAGGAAAUCUCACUGGAACAGAAUCCUUAAAAGCGUGGCAGUGAUCUGAGAGCUUGGCUCAUUCCAUCUGGCAAAGCAAAGCCUGGAGGAGGAGAUAGGACCACUGUGAGUAAAUGUCACAGGUAGACAGCUUAAGGACAAUGCUAUCACAAAAAUAAGUGCAUAUAAACACUCAGAACCACACUCAAAGCCCUCCUCCUCUCAGAGAGAAUGCUAGUGACAUUCGUUCAGCAUCACAUGGAGAAUUCACUUAGCAAACUGGGUUAAUGGAAGAAAAUCUCUGAGCUAUAGCACCUCUGGGCCAGAAGCUACACAUGGUGGCCCUUGAGUCUCUUUUGUAGGGUCCCUUUCUACAAGUGCUUUUCAGUUUUAUGGAAGUUUGCCACAGACCUCUGCCAGCUUAUGCUUGUUCAUGGUGUGGUAACCCUUCCAGACUUCAAGUGCAGUGCAAACAGGAGGUAGAAAGAAGGUGAAACCAGAUCAUUUGGUGGGGUUGAACAGCUGGAGAGGUUUGGAAGGGAUCCUGAUUUACAACUGCGUGAGUCCUCAGCACAUAGGGAAUGUCUGACACAGCCAUAAACCUGGAUCAGCCCAGGUUUGCAUGGCAAAUCACCAUCUCUAUCUGGCAGUGCAAGCGUUACCCUCUGCCAGUCCUUCUCACUGUUUUUGGGUGCAGGGGUUGUGCUGCUGGCCCCAUACAGCACAGCUCAGUGCAAGCAGCUGUCGGCUUCACCAGGCUUGUAAGUGCUCCCUGGGUUAUUUUUGCAACAUACCACGUGAGUUUAUGGGGUUUUUAUUUUUAGUCCCACAGUAUGAUUUGUUGACGAUGUGUAUUUUGCAUGCAGUUGGGAUUGAAGCACCAAGGUGAUAGAGGCCAUUUAAUGAUCUGCCGAUAUAUGUUGCAGUCAAUAAACAUUACAGUCAAUAAAAGUCAUCAUUUGCCUUACAGUCAGCAUCUGUACCCUUUCAGCCCUCGUGAUCACAUAUUUAUAUCAUAUCCAUUUAGGCUGUAGUUUGCUGUAUCACUGCUGUUUCACCUCAGACUUGCUCCUGUCACUCUCAGCCAGCAGCAUCAAGUUCCCCAAGUUCUCCUUUUGAAAGAAACCUAAUGGAAAACAAACCAUUCCUGCAG